UACGUAGGGUGCGAGCGUUAAUCGGAAUUACUGGGCGUAAAGCGUGCGCAGGCGGUUCGUUAUGUCCGAUGUGAAAGCCCCGAGCUCAACUUGGGAAUGGCAUUGGAAACUGGCGGGCUGGAGUGUGGCAGAGGGGGAUGGAAUUCCGCGUGUAGCAGUGAAAUGCGUAGAUAUGCGGAGGAACACCGAUGGCGAAGGCAAUCCCCUGGGCCUGCACUGACGCUCAUGCACGAAAAGCGUGGGGAGCAAACAGGG
rnacentral:rRNA from 1 species